rnacentral:rRNA from 1 species
GUCUACGGCCAUGCUACCCUGAACAAGCCCGAUCCUGUCUGAUCUCGCAAGCUAAGCAGGGUCGGGCCUCGUUAGUACUUCGAUGGGAGAUCACCUAGGAAGAUCAGGUGCUAUAGGCG